rnacentral:rRNA from 1 species
UACGGGGGGAGCAAGCGUUGUUCGGAUUUACUGGGCGUAAAGGGCGCGUAGGCGGCCAGCACAAGUCAGUUGUGAAAUCUCCGAGCUUAACUCGGAACGGUCAAGUGAUACUGUCGUGCUAGGAGUACAGGAAGGGCAACUGGAAUUCUCGGUGUAGCGGUGAAAUGCGUAGAUAUCGAGAGGAACACCUGCGGCGAAGGCGGGUUGCUGGGCUGAUACUGACGCUGAGGCGCGAAAGCCAGGGGAGCGAACGGG